UCGACUGUGCCGCUUAUAGCGCGCUGGACUUUCGGCCAAGAAAGGUCGAGGGUUCGAGUCCUGCUUCCCUGCCUGUUUCAUUACACUGGUGUCAGAAGUGGAUCGGACCUUGCAGCCACGACAGUGCGCGUGCUUGGCCGGUGAGAGUGUGUGUGUGUGCGCGCGCGCGUUCCUGUAAAAAGACGUAGGGUUCGCAAGCCAGCGCGAGGACGCGCUCUAUGAAAAAGGAGGGAUGAGUGUAACGACCCCUGGGGUUUAAUUAAUAAGGGCCAGAAGGUCGACGGUUCGAGACCUGCAUCAUUACAAUACGAACGGAUGUCUAAGCCCCAGAAUGGUGAGCCAGGCAGCCCAGCAGGAGCCCCAGCAGCAGAUGAUCCAGAGGUGAUGUUCCAGGUGCCUGGUCCAACCGUCUCCUUCUCCAGACUACACUACUCUGUCAUGGAGAGCAAUGGACUCUGCCACAA